UAAGCCUCUCAGUCUGCUGGGUAUUAGGAUGUGACUCGCAGUAGCAGCUGCUCCCUGAGACUCAGAACCUUUCAGUUUGGAUACACAGGGUGCCACAACAAGAUAUCCUAUCUUCAGUAUUUUUUGCAAAAUUUUUCAGAUCAACACUUGUUGCAUGAGCAUCAACAGUUUCUGCUAAAUGCAGAAGAGAAAUCUGAAGUAGGAUCCAGCACUCACCCUUAAAAGGUGCAAAACAAAACUUCUGUUUCAAGAAAACACAUACAAAGGUAAUAAUAAUAAUAUUUUUGUGCU
rnacentral:lncRNA from 1 species